CGCGGCCCACCCAGUCCGCGAGAACCGGGCAGAUCGCCUCGACGGUACGGAGGCCGGCCGACGGGUCCGCCAAACGACGAGACCACGCCUCCAGCACGGACUGCCGAUAUUGGAGCCCCCGCGCUCCGGCUGCACUUGCGCUAGGGUGCGCCGCCUCGUAGGAGACUGUGCUGUGGCAGGUCCAACCAGAGACGUCAACGUGUGUUCCAGAGCUUCAGUGUGUUACAGAUAAGUGGUUUUGGCUUCCCCUUUAUGUUCCAUUCAGGGUCAGAAUGUAGUCUUAUAAAACAAAGUCAUAGUAAUUUAUUCAAUGGUAAGCGGUUUCAUGAACAAGUCACUCUUUGAUCUGAAAGUAACUUAGACCAAUCAUGAUGGCAAGAGCACUUAGGGGAUAUUCAACUCGCCCUUAAUAGUGCACGUUGUCGAGUAACAGGGUUUACUCCAAUAGAAUAGACGUUUGCCGUUCAGGGUAGUUCACUUGAAAUAUCUAAAGUUUCAACAGAGUGAUAAUCCCUCUAGAUUAGAUCUUGAUUUAGCACGGUCGAAGACCGGCGAAAACAUAAAAAAAGGGCACAAACAGAAGCUUGGUUUAGUCGAGGCAAAGCUAAAGUCAAACUCUUUUCCGCUGGGGAUUUUGUUUUCGUAAGUUGACCGAAAAUGUAAAGGUCCCUUCAACAUUACUGCAGUUUUGGAAAACGAUAGGUAUAAAUUGAGACAUGUAAAUAGUUCUAAUAGAGUGUACAAAUUUCCCCAUGAAAACUUACGUGAAAUACCUCGAGGCCCGUCAGGCCUACUAGAAAUUUCUGAAAAUUAUAGUGACGAUGACGUGACGGCGUACACAGAUGGGUUAAUUAAUCUUGUUCAUGAAACUGAUCUUAAUGAUGACGACUCUAUCACUGACAAUAGAAGCGACAUUUUUGUCCGCAAAUAGCGAUACAGCAAACAUAGUCUGUGGGUAGUGAUACAAUGUCUGUAAGCUCAGGCACCUCAGGUGCAGGUGUUGGAAAUGUAGAAAACGAUGGUCGGUCUCGCACUAUUUCUGAAGAAAUUCCGUAUAAAUGUUCUGGUUUAAGAAAUGUUUUAACAAACGCUACCGUACACGCAGAUUAAAAAAAAAAAAAAAAAAAAAAAGAGAAUUGUAUGUGGCUAGAGAGAUGUUAAUCCGGACUAGCAAAAAAAAAAGAGGAAAAAAAAAAAAAAGUGUGAAGUCAUUGAAGGGUCUGUCCGGUCCAAUGGCUUGGCUAUAGGGAUUUUCAUCCAGAUUAGCCACAACAAUUAGCUACAGGGAUUGCGAUUCGGUCUAGCAUUAUCCGGUCCAGUUC